rnacentral:lncRNA from 1 species
AAUGAACCAACGUAAACAUAACAUUUUGGUCAAAGGGAAGUAACAAUCACCAGCCAUCUGGUAUAUCUCUCCUAAUGGUAUGCAAUUUGAAGUAUGUAAGAUCACCUCUGAUGUAUUCUGGCCAAAAAUCAAUCACAAUUAGAAUUAAAAAAAAAAUCAUCAGAGAUUCUUAAUUAGAACCAUGCGAAAGUAAUCAUAGAAAUCAAAGAACAAAUCUUCCAAAGGAGCAGAUAAUGAUGACUUUCUAAAGAUAAACAUAACUCAAACACAGAAAUCUAACUUCCAGACAGGACUAUAAUAUUUUCUGAGGAAGCAUUUUUUUUGCAGCUAGUAAUAAAAAGUACUAGUACUUAACAUUAAUCAAGUACUUACUACACACUGGGGACUAUUCUUAGAACUUUACAUGUAUUAACUUCUGGAGCUACACAAUCACCCUUUGAAUCAAAUAUUGCUAUUAUUUCUAUACUAUGAAAUGAGCAACUGAGGCCCAAGGUUUAAGUACCUACCUGAGACAUCCUGGUUGAAUUUAAUGAUUUUUCUGAGUAUGUGAAACAAUCACAUUGUUCUAAGUCUCCCAAAUACACCAUUUGCUUUCAGUCCAGUGUUUUUGCCACUGCAUUUCACUCUGCUCACAAUAUUCUCUGUCCCUUUUCUGCCUGUUAAACUUCCCUGAGGUUUCAGAACCCAAUUCCUAUUCUACAUUUUACAGAAAAGUUUUAUUGACACCAUUCCCAUUGAUUAAGUUAGUCUUCCUUAGCUGGGCUCGGUGGCUCACACCUGUAAUCCCAGCACUUUCGGAGGCCGAGGUGGGCAGAUCAGUUGA